GGUGUCUGUGGGCUGUUCGGGGAAACGGGAUGCACGCGAGGGGUGUACCUGGAGUCGGUGAUGUUGGAGGGGGCGGGACCCCCAAAUUGCCCCAAAUGGCCAAGUAUUGGCGCUUUGACAAGUUCAUCCCAAAGAUCCACGGGAACUGGAGCGCGAGUAGUCAGGGUGACGGUACAUCCUACUCCCGCCGAGGUGCUCUACUCGGGUACCGUGUCUCCUGGAAAGUCCACCUCAAAGUUGAACUUCAGGGGCCCCCCGGUGGGGGUGAGGUGGGCUCAGUCACUUAUACACGUCUGACG